UGAGAAAUAAUUUAUAUAAAAUAUUAAUUUUGUAAAUUAAAAAUGUACUUAAAAUACUUUCCCAA
rnacentral:tRNA from 1 species